AACCACAGCCAUUUCACCCUGUAGCCCAAAACCAGUUACUCACUGAAGCCAAGCAUGGCUGAGCUUGGUUAGUACCAGGAUGGGUGACCACAUGCAAAACUAGGUUGCUGUUGGAC
ensembl:rRNA 5S_rRNA 5S ribosomal RNA